CAGCGAGGACGUCUGCCACGAGAGGUCUACCAGCAACAGAAGUUGUACGUUUGAAGAGAUAUCCUCAAGGAAGCUGAACGAUAUCAAAGAUGAAUGUGACGGACGCAGAUCGUGUGAGAUAGAGGCAAAUACGGCAAAUCUGGGACCGGAUCCGUGCCGUGGUGUCACGAAAUACGCACGCGUACUCUACAAGUGCUCGUAAACAAAUCCGUCGCCAUGGAUACGACAUCCGGGGAGGCACGAACGCGGGGCGAGGAAUGGAAGCAUAGCGCUGGCAGAUCUACGCUGCAGUAUUUGUGAUUAGACAGACAGACAUUCAGUUACACGGGUAGUUACCCCCGUCACAAUAGUUAUGCGUAGUGUACGUGCACACAUAGACCGUGUCCGAUCAUGUCCCGAACCGCCGCACGCUGAAUGUGAAAAAAUGUGUUACAUCGCGUGCCGAUAGAUGGCAGGAUCAUCGGAUCUCACUGAUUGUUAUUUUCGUCUACUUUUGGUUAGUUUGCAUGAGUGAAUGCAGCAAUGAAAACAUUGAUAAUAAACACAUUAAUAAGUAUAUUAUAUAUA